GCCAGACUCCUACGGGAGGCAGCAGUGGGGGAUAUUGCACAAUGGGGGGAACCCUGAUGCAGCGACGCCGCGUGGGUGAAGGAGCGUUUCGGCGCGUAAAGCCCUAUCGGCAGGGAAGAAGGAGGACGGUACCUGACUAAGAAGCCCCGGCUAACUACGUGCCGGCAGCCGCGGUAAUACGUAGGGGGCAAGCGUUAUCCGGAUUUACUGGGUGUAAAGGGGGCGCAGACGGCAGCGCAAGCCAGGAGUGAAAGCCCGGGGCCCAACCCCGGGACUGCUCUUGGAACUGCGCGGCUGGAGUGCAGGAGGGGCAGGCGGAAUUCCUGGUGUAGCGGUGAAAUGCGUAGAUAUCAGGAGGAACACCGGUGGCGAAGGCGGCCUGCUGGACUGCGACUGACGUUGAGGCCCGAAAGCGUGGGGAGCAAACAGGAUUAGAUACCCGCGUAAAC
rnacentral:rRNA from 1 species